GCAGGACUUGAGCUGGUCAGCAUCAGCAUUUUUUUCACUCAGUAUAAAGCGUGUGCCGAUUAUGUGGUGUUUUGUGUGUGUAAAUAAUAAAAAUAUCCCUCAAAUCCUUUCAGGACAAUGAGGCGACGACUUGUUCCGAUGGGACAUUUGGUACAAAGCGGUAUUUCACAUGUGAAGGAAACAAAGCCUUGUUUGUACCACUGACCAACUGCAAACCAGACAGCAGAUUUCUGUUCAUCCAGAAUGAGAUCCCAAAACCUCUUGAACCUCCCUCAGGUGAGACCCUUCAGUCUGCUUUAUUAUUCCUCCACUUACAGAAACAUUCUGAAUGUUGAAGCCUAAAGAUGAUGACCUUUUCCCUUCUUAGUCACACUCCUGGAAGAUUUAAAUGAAGAUGUUCCCCCUGUAGCAGAGCCAGACGUUUUGUCCCAUCUGAUUGGCAGAAUGAGGGGAAUCCAAGGUCACUUCAACUCCUGCUAUCUAGAUGCCACUCUCUUUAGUCUCUUCACAUCAUCUGUAGCUUUCAACAGAAUGUUUAACAGAUCAGCAGAUAGCGAGGAAGGCAUUUCACACAUUUUAAGACGGGACAUUGUGAACCGUUUACGCAGAACGGGUUUUGUUCCAGCAGAGAGUGUGAUGAAGUUUCGUAAACAGCUGGGCUGCAAAUCUUUUGCUACAGAGGAGAAAGGUAUUACUUAUCCCAUAGUGGCCAUUUACUUGUUGAUGUUGAGCUGCAGGUUUUCAUCUGUGGCUUAGAGCUAAUGUUACACUGAUCUCUAAAACAUUUUUACUGCUAUUUCCCUCAGAUCCAGAGGAGUUCAUCACGCUACUACUAAAGCAUGUUUUACAUAUAGAGCCAUUGCUCAAAAUCAGGUUUG
ensembl:lncRNA